CCCUUAGAUGAUCUGGGCCGCACGCGCGCUACAAUGAUAAAGACAAAAAGUAUACAACCUCUUUUGAGAGAAAUGGGUAAUCAAAAAACUUUAUCGUGACUGGGAUUGACACCUGAAAUUAGUGUCAUGAACGAGGAAUUCCUAGUAAACGCAAGUCAUUAACUUGCAUUGAUUGAGUCCCUGCCCUUUGUACACACCGCCCGUCGCUACUAUCGAUGAAUGGUUUAGUGAGUUAUUUUAUUUCGCGAACUUGAUCAUUUAGAGAAAGUAUAAGUCGUAACA
rnacentral:rRNA from 1 species